GCUAUUUGCUAAGUCAGCUUUAAUGCGCUCGAUUCCGCCAGCGCUCAGAAGCUAAGCGGGGGUUUUGAGCCUGUAUAGCACUUGGAUGGGCGACCACAAUUGAUAACAGGUGUUGUAGGCU
rnacentral:rRNA from 1 species